GGCUAAUUUUGGCUCGACUUGCAGCUUCGGUCAUUUUGCUAUCGAUCCUCGAGCCGGGCAUUGUGUGCGAGGCAGCAGCUACUGCAACCGCGACGACUGCUUUUUAGCAGAUUGAGAGGAGCGAUAGCCCGACACGCGCGCUGAUGCAGAGAUAUUUAGUGCACGCUGGAGAACGUUUUUGCGCAGCAUUGGAAUCUUCGCGAAAACACGAUCUUUUACGAGUCGCUUUAAUGGCCGAUGUUGUGUGCAAUCGCGCUGUUUAAAUUAAUGCGGAGCGGCGUAAAUCAAUGAUAAGGAGUUAAGGUGGAUCAUUGCGGUCAGACCGACCCGGUUUUUCGAAUUUUUUCGAGCAAUCUCUCUUGCGCGAUAAUCCGAGCUACUUAAAUUGCUGAAAGCGUGCUAUUACAUGAUAAAAUCCAAACGUCGACUGCGCGCUUGUUCUGAUGGAAUACACUAUUCGUCGAAUAAACUGCUGCCAGACUACUCGGUUCGCAAGCUAGUGCAUCGGCGAUUGCGAAGCUUUACAAAGACCCGUCAACUCGAGCUUGAUAAGAUUUACUCGCGCGCGCUUAGCGAUUUUCUAUAUCGUGCGAGGGACGUUGCGAAUGAGCCGACAAUUUUGUUCAUAAGAGAACAGAUCCAGCAAUAGCAACAACAACGGUAACGAGAAUACCAGCGAUACCCACGAAGAAGACAACGGGCUGAACACCGCUCACCGCCUUGUCGUUCUCCAGGCCAAUGAUAGGUACAUCCCUUUUUCAGCGCUGUCGUGAUCUGUAAUUUUGUUACCUUCAUAGUAAAAUGUCUCGAAUAGUCGCCAAACAUGCCGUGGAAUACUAAAUUUCGACAUUAAUUUUCAAUCGGUUCGAAUGAAAGUUUAUUGUUACAACAGUGAAUCGAUGCGAAUGCAUCUGUUUAUAAUUAAUCAUCAAAGUAUGCAAAGGAUUUUCUUAUUAUAAUGCUAUUUAAUAACAGUUGCAUAUUAAGGUUUAUUAUAUCUACUGUUAAUUAUUUUUAAUAUAUUUCUCAGGAACAAAUACAUAUUCUUUUAUUUUAAUAUACAUCAAUUCGCGAUUACAACACUUGCGAACGUGUUCAUCAUUAUAAUAAUUUUUAAAGAGUACUCCGUGUGUAAACGGAAACUUUCGAUUUUUUUCUUGGCGCUGCAGUAUAUGCAAGAAUUAAAAAAAUCCUCUUUCUACUCUUUUCGUCUGCAUAUAUUAUUCCUCGUUUUUUUUUAAAUCCAGUCAAUUCUCUGUACACGUAAAAUCUUUUGUGAAAUUAUCACGUUUUCAUUCGGCUUUGUAGUGGCGCCCGUAUGAAUUACUUUAUCUAUGCACUUUUUUGUAAUGCUCAAUUUUGUCAAUGUCGUUUAAAAAUUCGUAACGUAUAUUCUCAUCUUCUCAUUAUUGUUUUGGUUAACGAAGCGCCACCUUAAGAACAUUGCGUCUUGUUUUAUCUUGAAUGUUUUUAUCACAGAGGUACAGCUUUUUUCCUUUCUUUUUUUCUCUAUUAUUAUUACAGCUAUAGACGUUCGCGUUGAUAAAUCUUUCUGCUCGUCGCUAAUGGCACUCACAUUACGAGAAGUACGAGAAAAAUCAAUGAUAAGAUCUUGAAAAUCGAUUCUUCGAGCGUGUGACUGAAAAAAUUGAACGCUCACGCUUUUCUUUAAAGUAAUCAACAAGUACGCGUCUACUGCAGUGAAUCCGGAGUUAGCCUAUGCUGAUAGACAAUUAAGUUUAUGUAUAUUACGUUAAAAAUUAAUGUAUAUGUAUAUAUAUAUUUUUUUUUCAAAAAGCUGCUGCAAACGAGAAAGUAAAAGUAGUCGACGACAGGUCGUUCCUUUAAUCGAGUAAGUUUCGAAAAAUUAACUUGCGUUAUUACAGUACUUAGCUUACUUAUUGAAUAGUUUUUUAUAGCUCGGAAAUUUGUUCACAUUCGUUCCUAAAGACUUUCUUCUUUGACCCUUUGUUUCUUAUGUCGUGCAAAAACGAGUACGGUCUAAUUUUUCUUGCUCACGAUGGAAUGUGUUCCACAACUAUCAUUUCAUUAUUAUUUUUGUCCCUCUUUCACGAAUUGAGCGCUCACAAUCUUAUUAUUUUCGUAGAGCUAUUUUACAUUUAUAUAUACAUCUAUCAUCAUACACGCACACGUAGAUACAUGCAUUCUAUAUAUGUACUCUUCAUUUCUUCUCGACUUCACUCACGCGCUUGUGAAUAAUUAAUCCUAAUGCAAUAGUAGCAAUAUACACGUAACUAUGUUUCACGUCAUAUAAACUAUGUACAAAAAAAACAACAUAAGAAAUAAAAA